ACACACACUUGUAUUGCAAUUACCUGUUCUUUAAAACUGUAUUGGGGUGUUUUGAAUUGGAGAUCUUUAAUCACAUUUCUAGUUCUAUCUGUUGAUUUUUCUUGUCUUUGAAUUCUGCUUUGGACACAACAAAUUCAGAGUGCCCAGCAUAGUUCCUUUAAGGAGACUUUUCAGCCAUGUAGUACCGGUCACGAUCCACAUAAACGAGCAUUCCAACAUGGCCCCUCAUUGAAAACCCUUCAUUAUGUGUUCUUGGGAAUACUAUGUUGGGAAGUCAGAGCUCCUCAUCAGACUAUUAUGAUCAUACUUGUACAUGUCUUUCUCCAUAUACUGGAAGUGGAGUUGUUUGGGUUUGGUCAGGGAUAUGCUUGUGUUCAACUUUAAUUCUUCUAAAUACAUUCCCAAACAAGUGUACCAACUGGCACUCCCACCAACAGUUGUAUGAAUGUUCUGCUUUCUCUGUAUCCUUGACAACAUUUGGCAUCAGUUUAAAACAAUGUUUGCUACUCUGGUAAGUAUCAUGGUUUGCGUUUCCUUUUUUUUUUUUUUUUUCUGAUUAUUUAUUAGCUGUUUGGAUAUUCUUGCAAUUUCUCUACUCCUUGCUCCUGACAUUGGAUGCAUUAGGUGUAUCUGGUUUCACAAAGCAUCUGUAAGACAUGUAGAGCAGGAUGUAACACCUGGGCAGUGAUAGGCAGUGACUCUGUGUGUGUGUGUGUGUGUGUGUGUGUGUGUGUGUGUGUGUGUUCAUCCCCCAGCAGACAUGAGCUGGGUGAUGGCUGUGGUGGAAUCAGUUUUAUCUUUCCCUCUCUAGCUCCCAAUAUGGGCCAUGACCCUUAGUUAUUUGAUGUAGUUAGGAUAUACUCAGCAAAAAUCAGAAUACCAAACUAGCUGAAGCAAUGAGGAAGUAUACUGAGUCAAAUAACAGGCUCUUGGGAGGAGAGGAGUUUCCAGAGAUUUUUGAUUCAUCAGCAAAAGGAAGUAUUCAGAGACGCAGAUUCUCUUCUGUUUUUUACUAUGCAUUCCUCAGUGUUGACUAGGGUACCAUGAUGGCUGACAGACAUUUUAGACAUUAUAUACAGGCAUGACAAUAUUCAGGGCAAAGAGUAUGAGAGAUCAUUUUUUGUGACUUUUAGGAGCAAGGAACAUUUCCCAUUAGCCAACAGUGUAUGUCUGCUUUUAUCCUAAUUGUUAAAUUGGGUCACAGGUAAUUUCUGAAAUAAUCACUGGUAUUACUUUAAGUUAAUCACAGACUCUUGAAGGUUUUAUUUAAAUAAAUAGGUCAGGCUCAAAGAUUUCAUUAUCUUUUUUUUUUUUUUUUUUUUUGAGAGAGAGCGAGCGAGCGAGCACAAGCAGGGGAGGGGGCAGAGGGAGAGAGAGAAUCUUAAGCAGGUUCCACGCUAGCCCGACACGGGGCUCAAUCCCAUGACCCUGUUAUGACCUGAGCUGAAAUCAAGAGUCAGACACUCAACUCACUGAGCCACUCAGGUGCCCCUUCGUUAUCUUUUUAUGCAUGUAUGAAGAAAGAACCAGUGAUCCUUUAUUUUAACAAUAACAAAAAAUUUUACAUGUACACAUGUCACAAAACAGAUGACAAUUUAAAAUUAAAUGUGUAUAUUAAGACCACCAAACAUAAUCACAGACUAAUCAGAGGUUUGCGUUUAUUUCGCAAAGACAACAAAAAUUCUGAAGUAGUCAAUAUUAUUAGAACAUUUACUAGUACUUUUCCAUCAUCUGAUUUUUUGUGUGUGUGCAGCUAUGAGGGACAGGGGAAAUAUUAAUGGUUUAACCUUGUAAAGUGUUUUUUUUGUUGUUGUUGUUGUUCCCAGAGUCAGAGAAGCCUACUCUUUUAACUCCUGGAAUUCUGUUAGUUUCAAGGAUGAGAAGGUCAAGGUUGGCAAUGUGGAAAUGAAGUCAAAGGUGUGGUGCUCCAGCCAUGCUGUUAAAAUGUGGAUUCCUUGGAAUUUUAAGGUAAGAGCCUAAUGUCUCCCUAAUUGACUUGCUUCCCAGUAUGAAAAGUAUGAUGGCUUGGUAUAUACAUGUAAAUGUUAUGAAUCAUUGUCACUUAUGGAGCUGUUGAAAGAAACAGAAAACAAUGAAUUUAUUUAUCUUAUGUUUUUUGCCAGUGCUCAUUGGUUGAAUGGUGGAAGAGUUAUACAAAGAUUUACGGUACUUUCAACUCUGAGGCUUUCUUAAAAAAAAAAAAAAAAAAAACUUGGGGCGCCUGGGUGGCUCAGUCGGUUAAGCCUCCGACUUCAGCUCAGGUCACAAUCUCGCGGUCCGCGAGUUCGAGCCCCGCGUCCGGCUCUGGGCUGAUGGCUCAGAGCCUGGAGCCUGCUUCCGAUUCUGUGUCUCCCUCUCUCUCUGCCCCUCCCCCGUUCAUGCUCUGUCUCUUUCUGUCUCAAAAAUAAAUAGAAACGUUAAAAAAAAAAAAACUUGGUGGGGUGCCUGGGUGGCUUAGUCAGUUAAGUGUCUGACUUUGGCUCAGGUCAUGAUCUUGUGGUUUGUGACUUUGAGCCCCUCGUCGGGCUCUGUGCUCUCUCAGUCUCUCUCUCUCUCUGCCCCUUCCCCACUUGUGCUCUUUCUCUCUCUCAAAAAUAAAUAUUUAAAAAAAUUUAAAAAUACUUGGCAAAUAUUUCAUAAUCAAGACCCCCAAAAUGACAGUGUGAUCUGCUUUCUCACAAGUAUCACACUGCAUUUGAACAAACAAAAUCUGAAAUUCCAAGGAAAGGAAAAACUGUUUUUAUGACUUAGCUAAAAGGGUAGGAAUAUUUCCUGAAAAUGACACUUUUCAUAAGUUAAUACUAAUUUUACUAAUUUUCCUAUCAUGAAUCGAUAUAUGAAAGAUUUUCUUCAGAAUCAAAAGUAUUGUCAAAAUAUGCAAUUAAGAAACAGGAAAUCUUAGUAAGGAAAUAGAAGCUAUAAAAAAAGCACUAAAUGAGGACUAUAGGACUAAAAAGUGCAACAUCUCAAAUUUAAGACUUGAUAGAUAAGCUUAACAGCAUAAUUGAAAUGAUGGGAAAAAGAAUCAGUGAAUUUGAAGAUAGAGUAAUAGAAAUUAUCCAAUCUGAAAAACAGAAAAACAGUUGAAGACAACAGAACAAGUGACCUGUGGAAUAAUAUCAAAAGAUUUAACAUGAGUACUUGGAAUCCCAGAAGGAGAGGCAAAGGCAGAAAAAAAAAUCUGAAUAUGGAUAAAAGUUUCUGGAAUUUGGGGAAAGGCAUACAGAUUUCAGAGGCUCAGAGAACUCCAAACAGGAUUAACAUAAAACCAUACCUAGACCAGCAUAGUCAAACAGAUGAAAAACAGAGAUAAUGACAAAAUCUUGAAAACAUGCAAAGAGAAAUGACACAGAAGGAAAAGAAUUCAAAUGACUUCUCAUCAUAAUCUAUGGAGGCCAGAAGUCAGCGUUACAAUAUCUUUUUCAAAAUACACAAUAAAACCCAUAAGUCUAUUUUAAGAAAAAUACUCCCUUCAAGAACAAAGGCAUUCAGUAAAAGAAACUGAAAAUUCAUCACCGGCAGAUGUGCACUCCAAGAAAUGCUAAAGUUCUUUAAGGUGAAGGAAAAUGAUACCACAUGGAAAUUCAGACCAUUGGGAAUUGGUAACUGGAAAUAAUGAAGAGCACGGGGAAAAGUAAAUAUAUGGAUAAAUAUAAAAUAUGAGGAGUUUUGGGGGGGGUCUUAAUUUCUUUAAAAUAAUAACCAAUUUAAAUUUCAAGUGGAAUGCCAAUGUGACUUUCCGUGGAUUAUUAAUUGCAAAGAAAAAAUGUACCAGUACAACGGAGAGAAAUGGU